rnacentral:rRNA from 1 species
CCUACGGGAGGCAGCAGUGGGGAAUAUUGGGCAAUGGGCGCAAGCCUGACCCAGCAACGCCGCGUGAAGGAAGAAGGCUUUCGGGUUGUAAACUUCUUUUCUCAGGGACGAAGCAAGUGACGGUACCUGAGGAAUAAGCCACGGCUAACUACGUGCCAGCAGCCGCGGUAAUACGUAGGUGGCAAGCGUUAUCCGGAUUUACUGGGUGUAAAGGGCGUGUAGGCGGGGACGCAAGUCAGAUGUGAAAACCACGGGCUCAACGUGGGAACUGCCUUUGAAACUGGCAAACUGGAGUGUGUGAGAGGAUAGUGGAAUGCCAGGUGUAGGAGUGAAAUCCGUAGAUAUUAGGAGGAACACCAGUGGCGAAGGCGGCUUACUGGACUGUAACUGAUGUUGAGGCUCGAAAGCGUGGGGAGCAAACAGGAUUAGAUACCCGGGUAGUC